GCCGCUAGGGGCGCCAGUGUCAAGGGAAGAGCCCGCGCUCUCCCACUGUGAAGCUCAGAUUUAUGUGGGGACGGCGAGAAAGGUUGUCCCGCAAGUAUGAUUUAAUUAACGGUGCAGUCCCAGCCCGGUCUACUCGGAAGUAGGUCCUGUCAAAUUCAGCAGGGUUGAUUCCCAGGUAAAUGGGAUUAGGUUGGCAGCCUAAAUUAUGAUGGGGAGGAAGAAAAAAAUAAAUCAGAAUUUACAUAUAAUAAUAUUCGUUUCUUGGGAACUAGGGCUAAGCUUCGGCAUUCGUUCUGAAAGCCAGGACGAUAUGAUGAAGUCAGAGAGAAGGCAUGAAAAAUGGCAGGUUCAUUCUGUUAAAUGAACAAAUGCAGCAGUAACGUUAGAGGGCAGUACUUUUAAUUAGGAACAUCCAGGUAUUUGGGAAAGAGUAAAGCGUAUUAUUUACAUUCAACCUCUGAUAUCUGCAAUUAGGACAGGGGAAGACUCUUAUCUAAAAAUCCCUGGAGAGCUGCUACUCCCAUAACAACCAGUGUAGAGUACUGAGCUAGUACUCUGACUGCUAGUUUCACUCGGUAUGAGGCGAUUUUCUGAUAAACUAAUAUUUUUCUUCUUCGAAUGUGGAGUUUUCUGCAUGUUAUGAAGAAGGGGAGCAGGAAGGAGUUGAGCCUCGUGGAAAUUCCAAGCAACGCAGGUUGUAACGUUAUUAAGUAAACAAUGCCACCAUAUUAAGAGCACGUGGAAAAGGAGUUGUGUAGGUUUAAAGCACAACUCUAUGCAUGUUUCCUCUAGAAGCAAGUCCCGCUUUCACUAUGUAGGAUGAAGCUUACUUCCCAGUAAAUGUGCAUAGGACUGUUGCCCCAGUUUGAUCAUCUUGGAUGAAAAACAGGUUUCACCAGGGGUUGCUGGGACAAAGAAACAUCAUGGUUGCUCCUCUCCCAACACCAUUUAUUUCAUAACUUUGUCCCGGUAGCCCUGGUGAAACCUGGAAUCUGUUUUGUGGCCUGCAGAACUUAAGCUAACGAAGUCUGUGCUCCUAUGCAAACUUGCAGGGAUAUAAGCCCCGUUGAACAUAGUAUGAGAUACUUCUCUGAAUAAACUUGGAUACAAUUGCACUGUAAAUCUGCAAAGUGCCUCGCCUCCAACGUUAUCCAGGAGUUCAGGAAAACUAAGGAGGUUGGUCACACAUUUAUGACCUAGGCUUCUUUGGGAGUGGGGAUGAGAAUGGGGAGGGCCUGAACUGGCCCUACAGCCAGGACUUGACAGUAUUGGGCCCAAUCAGUACACAAGUUGCAGGCUGGUGGAGCCUGAAGCAGGCUUUUGUCUGUCUCCUGUCCUGCCCCAACCAGCAUGAAUGACAGGGUUGUGGAUGGACUACUAGCUACACUGCUCUGUCACACUCAGCUACUGCCUAGCCAUGGUUUCAAGUUGUUUUGCCAGUUGCCAGAUAGGGAACAAAUAAAUGCAGUGUUUUUCACAAACAGAAAGAGAGGGAAUCUAACAGCCAUAACAAUGUGUUUGCCAAUACAGGUCCAACGUCCAUUUCUAGAUUGUGGUGAUUAACUGCAAGAACACAUCAAUAAACACCAGGAUGAACAAGCAGAAUAACAAGGCAGAUAUUAUCCAACUCUCAAAAGAAGGCAAAUGUAGUGAAAAAUAUAAGACAUGCAAGAAAUACAUAGUGCUGUGAGUACAGAAAAGGUAAACAAAUUUGAGUUUGCAAUAAAUGGGGAUACGAGUUCAGCCGCACCAGCUGUGAUUUGCAUGAUCCCUACAUGGAUUGUGGGUGAACAACCACCAGCUAAACACUGCCUGAAAGUACCUUGUAAUCUAAUCUUGCACCUUGAUACUUAGACAUUAAUCCUUGAAGUUCCAAUUAACAUACAGUUUCUUCUUGUGUAUUGUUCUGGGUGCACAAAACUUGACAAAACUAAAGUCACAUCCACACCAUAUGGUUAAAACACAUUUAAAACACAUGGCUUCAUUCCAAAGAAUCCAGGCAUUAGUAGCUCUGUGAGGGGUAAAUGACAGGAAAAUACUUAAAUGUGUAGCACAUUGUGGUCGCUACAUAUGUGGAGCACAGCACAUUCAGUUGCCUGCAAUGUAGCGUGGCAUGACAAUUAAAUUGCAGGCCAAUCAGUCUUCAUGGUUGGUGAUAACUCUGGAAAGUGUGGCAGGAGAAUUAAGAGUUCUACUGUACACUCAUAUUCUGUGGGGUCUGCCACAUUUCUAGUACAGUACUUGUAUACUGGUAAGUAAUUGCUGUUGGGGAAUGGGACUCAAUACCAGGAAGGCACCAAGAUACAUUGUGAUAAUUGGUGGAGUAAUAUCCUAAUUGAGGAAGAUCCUUCUUUGAAUAGUACUGCAACGGCACUCAGCCACUAACUUUCUUUGGAAUACUUACAUGCAUAUUUAUCAGAGCUGCAGUAUCUUGUGGUUUGUUCGCUCUUACAGAAAAUGAUACAUUUUAAUGCAGAUUAAAACUUGGUUUAAUUUUUAGACCUGCAUCGAUAAAGGUUAUAAGAGAAAUUGUUAUGGGUCAAUCGAAGUCUGCUUUUAUUGUCUGCUCAAAUACAUUUAUACUCAGAAGUAAGUCCCAUGGCUUACUGGGGUUUUGAAGUCAUGUCUCCCCAGUUCAAGUCGAACACUCCAGUUAGCAUAGGAUUUACUGUUCAUACAUGUGUAUAGGAUUACCACCCUAGUUAUAAUUUUGUGCUUCACAAAAAGCAAACAUUACUCAGUCCACAGAGGUUCGAAUCAUAUGUUACAGUGUGCAGCACAAUGCGUGCUUACUCAGAGAAGUAUCAUCAAGCCUUAUUAUUUAAAUUAGGUCCUAAAAGUCUGCAGAUGCUUAAGACUAGUAAUAAUCCAUUACUGCAUUCCGAUUUUCAGGAAAAGUCCUCUAUUACAAUAACAGCAGCAGCUCCUUUCUCACGGAGUCUAGAUUGGGAAGGUAGCAAAGACCAUCUACUUAUUUCCCUUUCCUUUUUAUCCUAUCCUUCUUCCAAGGAGCACAGGUAGAAUACAUGGCUCUCCCCUACCUGUUUUAAUCUCACCACAAUCCUUGCAGGUUAGUUAGGCUGAGUGAAAGUAAUUGGCCAUUUUUUUAUGGCUUAGUGUCAAUUUUAAUUCAAAUCUCUUCAGUUCUAGUAUGGGGAUAUGUACACAUCUUGCAUCUAAAGCUCCCCCCAAAGAAUCCUGGGAACUGUAGCUUACCCCUCACAGAGCUACAGUUCCCAGCACCCUUAACAAACUACAAUUCCCAGGUUUUCUGGGGGGUGUACUUUAAAUGCAUUGUGUCUAUGCAGUCUAACACUGCUACAAGCUACACCUAUUGAAAUUUGCUCUUCCACACAACAAUUAAAGCGGUAAAGUCUUGUCCCCUUUUGCAUCUUACUACCUUACAGAUCAAUUGAUGCAAUCCCGAGUGCACGGUGCCACAAAAAGAAUAAGUACUGUACAGCUGGGAAGGGAAACCAGAUGUUCUUGGAAUCCAGUUCUCAUUAAUUCCAGCCAGCAUGGCCAAUGGUUAAGGAAAACAGGGGUUUGCGUCCAAUUUCAUCUAGGGGCUCCAUACCUGCAGGCACACCAUGCUUGAUAAUGCUGAAGAAAGCACUUGCCAGUCUGAGUCUAUUGAAAAUUCCUUCCUGGCCCCAAAUAAGGUAGUCAGUGUGGCACCUGUUAAGUAAGCAGAAUUUUAUUUGGUGCCCAACAUCCAAUGUCACCCAGCAUCUAAUUUCUGCAUGUAGCAGUUUUGAAGCAAGUGGAUUUAAUGAAUAGCUUAUAUUAAGGUUACCAGACGUCCCCGUUUCCCGGGGACAGUCCCUGGAUUUACAAACCAGUCCCCAUACAAAAUCCAUUAAAGUUGAAAAGUGUCCCCGGAUUCAUUGAAAAAAAUCUGGUAACCUUAGCUUAUAUACAAGGGAAGGAGUCGUUUCCUGAACCCAAUGGGCUACCACAGCAGAGAUAUAAAAAGUAAACCACACCAUCAUUAUCUUUACAAAUAAUCCUGAACAUCCGUGAUUAUGACUAUCCUACAGGGGUCAAGCGGAGGUUAGAUCAUUAUCACUCACUUCAGAAGCAUUGGCCACAUAGGGUUGCUAUAAGUCCUCUUUUUCCAGGACAUGCCCUCUUUUUCAGGGGAAAGAUUUCUGUCCUGGCAGAUUUUUUGAUUUUGCUAAAAUGUCCGAGUUUUUUUCCUUUGGUACCAAACCACUCUCUUCUUCUUCUCUCUCUCUCCUUUUCAUUUUCUCCUAUCCCCCCCUCUCUCCCUCCCUCCCUUUCUCUUCCUUCUACAUAAAAAGUCACCAUUUUGCUUCAUUGCUUUUCCUGGGCUUUAAUUAAUUAUUUUGUAUGCCUUCCCACCACCCCACGGACACCCCAAAGAGGAGGAGGCAGCUUUCUUUUUAUUUACAUGUCUCCCUCUCUCUCCCCCCCCACCCAUUUUGCAUGCACAAAUUUUGCUGCAUCCCUCCCUGGCACCCUCCAAUGUUGCUCCAGCGUGUGCCCCACCCACAGCAUGCCCUGGUACACGCCAACUCCUGCUCACACACCCCUCCCUUCCCCAGGCACCAGCAAAUGUGUCCUUUUCGCUCUUCAAAAUACAGCAACCCUAAAGUAGUGGUGAUUAUGAGUAUUGCCUUGCAACAAUGCGUGCCUAAUCAAGUCAAAAGGAUUCUAUCCAUUCUCUAUAGGUGUCUUCCUGUAAAAGAAAAAGAAAAAGGGGGCUUCCACCUUUUCCUGGUUCUGCCCAGUGCCUUUAAUGGCAGCGUGGCUGAGGCUGGUGGGACCAGGAGUCUAACAACAUCUGGAAUGCCUAGGUUCUGUAUUUGUGUCCAAUUGCACCAGCUGUGUGUGUCUUUGUGUGGGAGACCUAAGUGAUUUUGUAUGUGUUAUAGAAUGGUCAAGGGUAAAAUAAAUAUUACAUAUAGAUCAAGCAACAGUGUUAUAUAUGUAAGUCAAUUUUCCUUCAUUAUACUUUGGUAUUUAUCAGCUUCUGAUUAACUUCCUUCACCCAUAUUUGCACUCGAAAGGGGAUGAUCCUGUUAGUUGUAGACACUUGUUUAAAUUUCUCUUUUUGAAAGCCACACAUUUGUUAAAAUUUAUAUAUUUUAAAUUGUAUAUAUAAUUAGAAAAGGGGGCUGUUGCAGUCAUAAAUGGGGGUUCUUUCAUUAUCUUUGAAAAUAUUAUUUCGUACCUUUUGCAAGCUGCUCUAUUGACAAAUUCAGUUACUAUCUAAAACUUUAGCUCUUAAAAAGUUGCUUACUUUGAGGGAUUCUGUUGAUGAUGACACAAGGUUUGAUAGAAUGAUGGCAGGCUUAAGACAGAUGGUGACUUCAUAAUAAGCAGUUCUAGACUUUUGAGUUUUGGAAGGGUGAACUGCUGUUUAUUUCACAAUGAUAUUUCCAGUUUUCAUUGUAUCUUGUGCAGCUAAUAAUUGCAUCAUUCACACCUAACAUAGCCAUAUAUUGACUUCACAAACAGUAUUUAUUUUAUUUGCCAAAAAAAUCUUGAAAACAGCAAAUAGUGCACUGGAAGCGGACUUAGGCUGCAGUCCCCACUAUGUCUACUCAAAAGUAAGUCCUAAUGAUUCCAGUGCUAUACAGACUGUGAUCAGGAAAAGAAAUCCAGACCACAAAAGGGAAAGGUAUAAAUCAGUUUUAUUGAUUACAAGGGCAGUGCAAUUGUCCACAAGGAUAGCAGACAAUUCAAAACAAACACCCACAUGGCUUUAAUCACCACAGGGGACGUAAUUAUUGAUCACAGGUAGUUUACACAGGUAGCAACAUAACUUUACAAUUUCAGUAAGGGAAGGUGGCCAGUUUUCCAGUCUUCAAGUGGAAGCAAGUCCACCUUUUCUAGUCUCUCCAAUGCAAGUUUCACCAAUGGAAAAAAGGAGACUGUCCUGCUGUCUGUUGUCCAGGGAGGUCUUCUUCAAAGCCUUAUCUUCAUUUGACACAACUGGAACUAAUGUCACAUUGUUCUCACUUACUUACAUUUUGCUUUCCCCUUUAUCCUUAUGCAAGAAUUUUUCCACCUCCUGUGCUUGCAAAAAUUGAUAAAUGACCUCAUGGUACUCUUUCAUUAUUUCCUUGACUACAUACUACAGUGGUACCUCGGGUUACAUACACUUCAGGUUACAGAAGCUUCAGGUUACAGACUCCGCUAACCCAUAAAUAGUACCUCGGGUUAAGAACUUUGCUUCAGGAUGAGAACUGAAAUCGUGCUCCAGCGGUGCGGUGCCAGCUGGAGGCCCCAUUAGCUAAAGUGGUGCUUCAGGUUAAGAACAGUUUCAGGUUAAGAAUGGAACUCCGGAACGAAUUAAGUACUUAACCCGAGGUACCACUGUAUAGGGACGCGGGUGGUGCUGUGGUCUAAACCACUGAGCCUAGGGCUUGCCGAUCAGAAGGCCGGCGGUUCAAAUCCCCGCAACAGGGUGAGCUCCCGUUGCUCAGUCCCUGCUCCUGCCAACCUAGCAGUUCGAAAGCACAUCAAAGUGCAAGUAGAUAAAUAGGUACUGCUCCGGCGGGAAGGUAAAUGGUGUUUCUGUGUGCUGCUCUGGUUCACCAGAAGUGGCUUAGUCAUGCUGGCUACAGGACCCAGAAGCUGUAUGCCGGCUCCCUCGGCCACAACCCCAGAGUCGGCCACGACUGGACCUAACGGUCAGGGGUCCCUUUACCUUUACCUUACCACUGUAUAGCUGCUACAUGAAUGGUGUGGUACCUGCUUAAAAUGGCCUUAUAAGUUUCUGGGUGAAUGUGGAACAAAGCCAUAAACUUUAACCUAUUUUACUAAUACCACAAGUUGUCCGGCUUGAAUAUACUCGCCAUUGUUCCCUUGACCUUUCCUCCAUAUACAAAGUACUUCCUCUUAGGUUUCUUCCAAAUUCUGUAAAUGCUACAUGACCUUUCUUAGUUUAGUUCGAAGCCUGGCUUGUCAGCAUCCAAUCAAGAUAUGAUCUGCACAUUCUGCCCAUCUCUAUACUGUUGUUAGCUGCAAGCAUAAUAAUAAAUCAUCAUAGAUCCAGAGGGAAAAGCCUUGCUCAGGUUAGACAACCUGGACCAGGCUUUCAAAAUGCCAUUGACAAGUAAUGGCUUUUUUUUUUCCUUUUAGGGGACAGUCUCAGGCCUUGGAGAGAUCCAGCACUUCCGUUGCAGGAUCAAGACUUCUAGUAUCAAGCAGCAGAACAAAAUGUUCCCUGGUUAGUUAUGUAGAAGGCUUCCUUGACUACAAUAGGAGACUUCUUUGAAACCUAAUUAGAAUGGAGGAGAGACAAUUUGGAAGGGUUGCACUGUGUUCUCUCUCUCUCUCUCUCUCUCUCUCUCUCUCUGUGUGUGUGUGUGUGGUUGCCAUGAGUACAAGGUGCCUGCAACAGUUUUUAUUAUUUGCAAAUGUGCCCAUGGCCCUCCCCAGACUGGUGACCUAUGAUAUAGCUUGAUAAACGGGUUGGAGAACUUGAAUGCUUGCGUCCUGUUUUGUGACAUUUCAGUUUUCUGAAUAAAGGUCUUGCUCUAAUGGACUUUGAAACAUAAUAAACAGUGUCAAUACAUCUGAAAGCAACCAUAUAAAACAAGC